rnacentral:tRNA from 1 species
GCUCCAGUGGCGCAAUGGGUUAGCGUGUGGUACUUAUAUAGCAGUACUCAAUAGAGCAAUGCCAAGGUUGUGAGUUCAAACCUCACCUGGAGUA